rnacentral:rRNA from 1 species
CACACGGCACGAACGACGAUGAAUGGUGGAGCGAAGGCUGAUAAGCAUUGUGAGUUGCAG